rnacentral:rRNA from 1 species
CCUGGUUGAUCCUGCCAGUAGUCAUAUGCUUGUCUCAAAGAUUAAGCCAUGCAUGUGUAAGCACACACUGUUUUAAAAGUGAAGCCGCGAAUGGCUCAUUACAACAGCCACAGUUUAUUAGAACUUACAAUCAUGGAUAACUGUGGUAAUUCUAGAGCUAAUACACGCACAAAAACUUCAACUGAAUUGGUUGAAGUGCUUUUAUUAGAACAAAAACCGAACGGCGUUUGGCGAAUGUUGAACGUCGAAACUGUUUGGUGAAUCUGAAUAACUAUUUCUGAUCGCAUGGUCUAGCACCGGCGACAUCACUUUCAAGUGUCUGCCUUAUCAACCUUCGAUGGUAGUCUAUGCGACUACCAUGGUGAUAACGGGUAACGGAGAAUCAGGGUUCGACUCCGGAGAGGGAGCCUGAGAAACGGCUACCACAUCCAAGGAAGGCAGCAGGCGCGCAAAUUACCCACUCCCAGCUUGGGGAGGUAGUGACGAAAAAUAACGAGACGAUUCUCGUUUGAGAAACGUUAUCGAAAUGAGUACGCUUUACACACGCUAACGAGUAGCAAUUGGAGGGCAAGUCUGGUGCCAGCAGCCGCGGUAAUUCCAGCUCCAAUAGCGUAUAUUAAAGUUGCUGCGGUUAAAACGCUCGUAGUUGAAUUGUGGUCUUAGACAACAGUCCCCCUACAUAGGUGUGGCACGGUUGCUCGAGAUCUUCAUUCGUGGUUGCUGUUGUUGCUCUUCAUUGAGUGUCAAUGGUGCCUCGAGAUUUUACUUUGAAAAAAUUAGAGUGCUCAAAGCAGGUUGUGAUGCCUGAAUAAUGGUGCAUGGAAUAAUAGAAUACGAUCUCGGUUCUAUUUUGUUGGUUUUCGAACCGGAGAUAAUGAUUGAAAGGAACAGACGGGGGCAUUCGUAUUGCUGCGUUAGAGGUGAAAUUCUUGGAUCGCAGCAAGAUGAACAAUUGCGAAAGCAUUUGCCAAGAAUGUUUUCAUUAAUCAAGAACGAAAGUUAGAGGUUCGAAGGCGAUCAGAUACCGCCCUAGUUCUAACGGUAAACUAUGCCAACCAGCGAUUCGCCGAAGUUCAUUUAAGACUCGGCGAGCAGCUUCCGGGAAACCAAAGUGUUUCGGUUCCGGGGGAAGUAUGGUUGCAAAGCUGAAACUUAAAGGAAUUGACGGAAGGGCACCACCAGGAGUGGAGCCUGCGGCUUAAUUUGACUCAACACGGGAAAACUCACCCGGCCCGGACACUGGAAGGAUUGACAGAUUGACAGCUCUUUCUUGAUUCAGUGGGUAGUGGUGCAUGGCCGUUCUUAGUUGGUGGAGCGAUUUGUCUGGUUAAUUCCGAUAACGAACGAGACUCUACCCUAUUAAAUAGUGACAGUAUUGUAUUUUUUGUGCUGAUCACUUCUUAGAGGGACUGGCAAAUUGAAAGCUGCACGAAAAGAGCAAUAACAGGUCUGUGAUGCCCUUCGAUGUCCGGGGCUGCACGCGCGCUACAAUGAAAGCGUCAACGUGAGUUACGUCCUUACCUGAAAAGGUUUGGCAAUCGAAUGAAACGUUUUCUUGAAUGGAAUAGGGAAUUGCAAUUGUUUCCCUUGAACGAGGAAUUCCCAGUAAGCGUGAGUCAUUAGCUCGCGUUGAUUACGUCCCUGCCCUUUGUACACACCGCCCGUCGCUACUACCGAUUGGAUGAUUUAGUGAGGUGUUUGACUGGCGCCAGUAGUCGGAUGUAUUCGGCUUCGCGCCGGGAAAUUUCCCAAACCAAAUCAUCUAGAGGAAGUAAAAGUCGUAACAAGGUUUCCGUAGGUGAACCUGCGGAAG